rnacentral:lncRNA from 1 species
ACCGUGGUUAAUUUUAGUGACUUGAACUUAAUGUUACAUCUAAGAAUCCAUAUCCAAAACCAUAGUCUGGUGCCACAUGCUCACUAAAGGUCCUGCCGCAUAAGUAAAUUGAAUCACAAAUUGAAUCAAAUUGGGUUUCCUCUGCCUAUAUCAGCUGGAGAUAAAUCAGAGUGAGAAGAUUUACAGCUUUCCUGUUUGUCUACAUCACACCACCGAGCACAAGGAGCAUUGGCCAAGGGAGAGAACCAGGUGUAGCCAAUGAAAAGCAUGUAGUACAGAAGGAUAAGGACCUUAUCAGAUGCAGUGAGAAAAGCGUCUUCUCCCCACUUCUUUCCGCUGCUAUCACAGAGUCCCACGGAGCCCAUCAUAUGAUGCAGGGCUACUUCCAGUGAGGCUCCGUUUCUGCAGCGUUGUGGCAGUGGAGCCUAGAGGAGUUCUCAUUGGAGAACAGAAGAAAAGCCGAAGAGGAAG